CACUCCUGCGGGAGGCAGCAGUGGGGAAUUUUGGACAAUGGGCGAAAGCCUGAUCCAGCAAUGCCGCGUGAGUGAAGAAGGCCUUCGGGUUGUAAAGCUCUUUUGUCAGGGAAGAAACGGUGAAAGCUAAUAUCUUUUGCUAAUGACGGUACCUGAAGAAUAAGCACCGGCUAACUACGUGCCAGCAGCCGCGGUAAUACGUAGGGUGCAAGCGUUAAUCGGAAUUACUGGGCGUAAAGCGUGCGCAGGCGGUUUUGUAAGUCUGAUGUGAAAUCCCCGGGCUCAACCUGGGAAUUGCAUUGGAGACUGCAAGGCUAGAAUCUGGCAGAGGGGGGUAGAAUUCCACGUGUAGCAGUGAAAUGCGUAGAUAUGUGGAGGAACACCGAUGGCGAAGGCAGCCCCCUGGGUCAAGAUUGACGCUCAUGCACGAAAGCGUGGGGAGCAAACAGGAUUAGAUACCCGUGUAGUCC
rnacentral:rRNA from 1 species